UAUCAGAUCUAAGAAUUCAUUUUCCCUGUCUUCAUCGGUAGCGAAAAUCAUCCUCCGAUUUUCGAUAUUUCGUUCUUCUCUUCUUCAAUGAUUACUUACUUAAACCAAUGAAUCUAAUUCUAACCUAAAUCGUCUCAAUUUUCUGACCUAAAUCCUCCCAAACAACAAAAUUGGGAAGAAGCAAACUCUACGGGAGAAAGAGAGAUGAAAAGUUAAAGAAAACAAUGAAAAACUCCAAAAGGGAAAAAAAGAGAAACAGAGCCGUAUAGGUGCUCAUUGCAUCGUUUGUGCGUAGAAGCAUCUGUAAUAAAGUCUUUGAUACAAAAGAAGGGACAACAUAUGCAGGCUAUAUUUUCAUCUCCAUUUUGGCGUUUUUUCAAACCUUUCUAUGAAAAUCUAUUGAAAGAUGACGAGUUAAAUAAAAAGACGAAAGCCGUCAAGAUGAUCAACAAGAAAAGGUGCAGAAUGUGAAAACAAAGCUGGCCUCUAAGAUCCUCCUUGAAAAAAGAGAAUAAUACUCGCAUACCGUGCCUAAAAUACAGUUCUUAUGGAAGAUUCAGUUUUUGUUGAAGUUUAGACUAAUUGUAAAAUGGUUAUCGAGUAAUUGUAAUGGUGACAAAUUACAGUUUCUGUAAAAAAAGAUUUAAUUGAUUUCAGUUUGUAGUCCCUUACA